rnacentral:rRNA from 1 species
AACGAACGCUGGCGGCAGGCCUAACACAUGCAAGUCGAGCGGACAUCUUCGGAUGUUAGCGGCGGACGGGUGAGUAACGCGUGGGAACGUGCCCUUUGCUUCGGAAUAGCCUCGGGAAACUGGGAGUAAUACCGGAUGUACCCUUUGGGGGAAAGAUUUAUCGGCAAAGGAUCGGCCCGCGUUGGAUUAGGUAGCUGGUGGGGUAAUGGCCUACCAAGCCGACGAUCCAUAGCUGGUUUGAGAGGAUGAUCAGCCACACUGGGACUGAGACACGGCCCAGACUCCUACGGGAGGCAGCAGUGGGGAAUCUUAGACAAUGGGGGAAACCCUGAUCUAGCCAUGCCGCGUGAGCGAUGAAGGCCUUAGGGUUGUAAAGCUCUUUCACCGGGGAAGAUAAUGACGGUACCCGGAGAAGAAGCCCCGGCUAACUCCGUG